ensembl:lncRNA
CGUCAUGGACACGAGUGCACUGUUGACAAAGCUUCCUGUUAGAGCAGGGUGGUUAGGGCGGGUCUGCAAGGGGAGUACGGAUGGAAUAAAACAAAAGGGGGACGCCGUGUUUGGUGACACACAAUGAGAUGGACCGGGCCGUCCGAGGUAUUUCUGUCUGUUUUCCACAUGUAGCGGAUGAGUGAUUGAGCGGCGCCUCAGUCAUAGCUGGACUCCUGCCCUAAACCCUCCAGGCUGCUGCAAGCUCCUCCGUGAGCUGCUUGUCUGCCUCGCUUUACUCCGACCUGAACUCAACAGCGCCCACGACACAGCUUGGCCUUUAACCUUUCACUGUGGAGUAGUGUCCUCAGAGCCCCGCCCAGUGCCACGCCUUCCUCCAUUGACACAGCUGUAUCUUAUCGUCCCAUUAAACCAGCUGACAUAAAUAGUCCGUCUUUUCUCGCCUCAGCUGUCAGUCCGGCCGUUAGGCCACCCUGGUACCUCGGCUCCGUGAGUUAUUCUGUUGCAGUCCUUGUGAUCCUGCGUUAACCCCUUGUAUUUCACCCUUACCAUCCAGCGUCGAACCUCGGUGAUUCACAUGGCCGAAGAGGUAGCCAGUUAGUUCCGCGGAGAUCAGCUGAGCACCUACAAACUCCUGCGUUGAGCCUCGGGCGUCACGCAGUGGAGGUCCUCUGCCUGUCACUCACCAUUGACUUGUGUUUUUGUGUUGCCUUUGUUUUUUCUCUGCCGGAGAAAAUAAAUAACCCCUGUUGAAGAAAGAAACCUUGGUGGUCCUGCGUGUUGCAUCUGGGUCCGUUUGCACUUCCUAACAGAACGGACUGACCAAAAAUAAUGGAUCCAGUAGCCGCUAUAGGAUCUCCCCCGGCUGACCCCGUGCAGAAGACGAUCAUCAACCAAGGCAUUCUUUUGGGACAACAUCAUCUGCUGCAUGAUCUACGAGGCUCACAACAAACCAUGGGAUCGCAGAUGGCCGAGAUCAGCAGCAUGGUGCAGGGACUCGCUCCGGCCCGCCCCUCCUCCCAAGAACCAACGGCGGAGUCUUUUGUUCCGUUUCCUGAACCUUUCCAUGGAGACAUGAAGGGAUGCCGAGGUUUCCUUCUCCAGGCCACGUUUGUGUUUAAUCAGCGGCCCUGCGAGUAUGCAUCGGACAAAUCUAGGAUUGCCUCUCUGACCGGAUUGUUACGUGGGCGGGCCCUUGACUGGGCCCAGGCCUGGUUUAAUCAGAACCCGCCGGAUACAGUUUCGUUUGGACAAUUCUAGGAGGCAUUUAAGAGAGCUUUUGACCACCCUAUGCACACUCAGCAUGCUGUGCAGCGCCUACUUCGCUCCAGGGCUCCACCAGCGCUGCCGAACAUUCAAUAGACUUUCGCAUGUUGGCCGCAGAGUGUGGUUGGGAGGAGAGAGCGCUGAGAGGGGUUUACCUAAACAGCCUGGCAGAUGGAUUAAAGGACCAGCUAGCCAUUCUGGGAGAGGCUCAGACACUCGAGGACCUCAUUGCCCUUACCAUCCGUCUGGAUGCUCGGAUGCGUGAGUGUCGGAGAGAACGGAGCUACAGGGUUCCAGGACCAGUCCAUCAGCGGAACGCAAAGCCAUGGAGACCUACAUUACCGACUCCCUCGCUGCAGAGAUUAUCCGUCCGUCAUCCUCCCCGGUGGGAGCGGGGUUCUUCUUUGUGGCCAAGAAGGACAAGAGUCUCCGCCCGUGUACAGACUACCGAGGGCUGAACCAAACACAACACGGAACAGGUACCAACUACCACUGCUGACCUCCGCCUUUGAGUCCCUACCCGGCGCCACAAUUUUCGCAAAGUUGACCUCCGCAAUGCUUACCACAGCGGAUACGAGAGGGGGAUGAGUGGAAAACCGCAUUCAACACCCCGCUGGGGCACUUCGAAUACUUGGUUAUGCCAUUCGGACUUACCAAUGCCCCAGCCGUUUUCCAGGCCUUGGUGAACGACGUGCUAAGGGAUUUCCUCAACAGAUUUGUGUUCGUCUACAUCGACGACAUCCUCAUUUACUCCACGAAUCUACAGGAACAUUGUCACCAUGUCCGUCAGGUCCUCCAGCGCUUACUGGAGAACCAACUUUACGUCACGCCGGAGAAAUGCGAAUUUCAUGUCACCUCAGUACAAUUUCUGGGUUUUAUCAUUGAGGAGGGGCAGAUUCGUAAAGAUCCAGCAAAGGUUCAGGCAGUGACCGAAUGGCCAAUCCCUUCUAACCGGAAGAAGCUACAGCAGUUCCUUGGCUUUGAAAAUUUCUACCGCCGGUUCAUUUGAAAUUCUAGCCAAACGGCGUUGCCCCUAACUCGAC